UUCCAUCGAUAGAACAGAGGAGAUGUUCUUCAAGUUCAAGUUCGACUUCUCAUCAGAUCUACUAUUUCUUCUGGUCGAUUGGUCAGAUUCAGUGCAGGUUGCUUGUACUUCGUCUAAGAACUUGAUUUUGACAAACUCCAAUUGAGUAAGCUUGUAAAUUCUGGUUGGAGCAAUUCCAAUUGCCUUGCAUCUUGUUUCGAGUACAAAGAACAAUUCCCAUUAUUGGCAAAUGGAUCAUAUAGAU